rnacentral:rRNA from 1 species
CCCUUGAAGACGACGAGGUAGAUAGGUUGGAGGUGGAAGUGCAGCAAUGCAUGGAGCUGACCAAUACUAAUCGGUCGAGGGCUUAUCCAAAU